AGCAGCCGCGGUAAUUCCAGCUCCAAUAGCGUAUAUUAAAGUUGUUGCAGUUAAAAAGCUCGUAGUUGAAUUUCGGGAUCAAUUUAUUGGUCGUGCUAUUGUACGUACUGGUAUUAUUGAUUCCUACCUUCUGACGAACCAUGAUGUCAUUAAUUUGGUGUCAUGGGGAAUCAGGACUGUUACUUUGAAAAAUUAGAGUGUUUAAAGCAGGCUCACGCUUGAAUACAUUAGCAUGGAAUAACGAAAUAGGACGUUUGAUUCUAUUUUGUUGGUUUCUAGGAUCGACGUAAUGAUUAAUAGGGAUAGUUGGGGGCAUUAGUAUUCAAUUGUCAGAGGUGAAAUUCUUGGAUUUAUUGAAGACUAACUACUGCGAAAGCAUUUGCCAAGGAUGUUUUCAUUAAUCAAGAACGAA
rnacentral:misc_RNA from 1 species